GGCGCGGUGGUCCAGCGGUUAAGACGCCACAGGCUUUACCUGUCGGAGUCCCCGGUUCAACUCCGGGCCGCGCCG